rnacentral:rRNA from 1 species
CCUACGGGUGGCAGCAGUGGGGAAUAUUGCACAAUGGGCGAAAGCCUGAUGCAGCAACGCCGCGUGAAGGAAGAAGGGUUUCGGCUUGUAAACUUCUUUCAACAGGGACGAAAGAAAGGACGUUACCUGAAUAAGAAGCACCGGUUAAUGACGGGCCACCAGCCGCGGCAUUACGUAGGGGGCAAGCGUUAUCCGGAUUUACUGGGUGUAAAGGGUGAGUAGGCGGGAUGGGAAGCCAGAUGUGAAAGCCUUGGGCUUAACCCGCGGAUUGCAUUUGGAACUAGCAAGCUAGGGUACAGGAGAGGAAGGCGGAAUUCGUGGGGUAGCGGUGAAAUGCGUAGAUAUUAGGAAGAACACCGAUGGCGAAGGCAGCUUUCUGGACUGAAACUGACGCUGAUGCACGAAAGCGUGGGUAGCGAACAGGAUUAGAUACCCUGGUAGUC